AACGCAUAUUGCGCCUGCGCCUCGGCAAAGGCAUGUCUGCCUCAGCGUCGGUUUACCCCCUCCAAUCUUUUUGCUCUUCUGAGCAGCAAGGAUUGGGAUCUGACCUUCCCUUCCUCUGGGUUGGUUGAAACACAUGCCUGUGCCCACCAUCCAAACGAAGGCACAGAAAGGUAGGCCGCUCACAGCAGCGGCACUGCCCCUGUGAUCUUCGGGUGAGAGCACUUGUGCAAAUCAGGAAUUUCUCUUUUUCAAGAGAUCAAACAUCUGACCUGAGAUCAGGCAAGACCACCCGCUGAACUUAA
rnacentral:misc_RNA from 1 species